CUGCUACGGUCCCUUUCUCACGCACAGAGACACUGUUCUGCCGCCUGAUACUUGCAGAAACUCGAUAUCAUCAAUUCACCAUGCCUCGAGGAUCCUCUCAGUCCCAGGCCGCCUCCGGUCCCACGUCCCGCCCGAGCACCAUGGGCAUGCCCCCGCGUGGUUCGUCUGCCGGCAUGCGCCGCCGCAGGCUAGGAGGCGGCUCGUCCAAUUCCUCCUCCUCUGGAGGAGCAUCGGGCAGCAACAUGCUGAGGUUUUACACUGACGAUGCUCCGGGAUUGAAGAUCAGCCCCACGGUCGUCCUUGUCAUGAGCUUCUGCUUCAUCGGCUUUGUUACUGCGCUCCACGCCUUCGGCAAGUUCUAUCGCUACAAAUCUGGACCUGGUGCCUGAUUCUCACGGAUGUUCGGCUCGCAGGUUCGGAUCCUGCAAUUCGAGGAGCUUGUUUGGUAAAAUUGGUAUUUCGGUGUGCCACGUUAAGCUUUUAGCUUUUGUAAAUGAUUCUGACUUCUGGACGACAGAUCAGAGAGGAUCUUAGCUUUCAUGUUUCUUUCUGUUUUGAUAUUAAUAUGCUUCUUUGAUCAUACAUGAAACUAAUCUUAGUUCAAAUAAUUUUACUGCUGUUUCCCUGCGUUUGUUAACUUCAUGAUGAGAAUUGAUUGUUUAUGUCAAUUUUUUAGUACACUGCAUUUUGCUGUUGUGCAUUUGGCAAUUUUAAUCCCUUUAAAUAGAAGUGUGAUGGAAUUCUAGUUAACUAUAUAUUGGAUUACGACCUGUAGAAAAUAACUUGAGCUAGCAGGUUUCUAUAAAUUGUUACUGUGAAUGCAUUAAUUUUUGUAGAUUGUGUACCAGUCUUGCUUAAAUAUGGAUGUUAAUGUAAGUUUCGUUCCAUUUUAUUUUGUACGUCGAUAGAUUUUCCAAGUUUAUAUGGUAUGGACAUUAUUGAUUGUCCAUAAAUGAAUUUCAAACAGCAAUGAAAACUUUUUUUGGUAAAAAUUGCUAGAUAUUUUCAUGUAUCGGGAGACAUAAUUGAAUGUUGUAUCUAUAGAUCCCAGUCAAUUUAGAAUAGCGUAUGGUACACUGAUGAGUGAUUAUUCAGUGAUGAAAACAAAGAAAAUUUAAGGGGCUCCCUGCACUAAUAGGUUACAGAUAAUAGUUUAGUUGCCUUAAGCUAAUUUUUCAUGUAUUAGGUCCAGUGUUCUGAAAACCGACCCGGGUAUCAACCCAAAAAUUAAAAAGGGUCAAAAAGUUGAACAGGAAAUUUUUAAAAUAAAUAAAUAAAUAAAUAAAUAAAAUUGAAUAAUGAAUCCAAAAAAGUGAAUAAUGUCAACAGUAAGAAAACUUAAAACUUAAAUAGUUAAAAUUUACAACUUGAUAGUUUUGCAUCAUCUAUCACCAAUAAAAAAAUGCCUAAGUAAUAGUUGAAUCCAAAAAGUGCAAUAAACAUAAAAGAUUAAAUAGUUAAAUUUCGUCUUCAUCGUUUUCAUCUGUAAUCCUUAAUCCUUGACAACUUCCACGGUCACUUGAACCACCAAAAUGAUGAAUAACACCCAAUUCAUCUAAAUCACCCGUCUCUGGAGUAUGAAGCUCGUCAUUAUUUAUAUUGUCAUCUAAAGCACAAAUAAGAAUAAAUAUAUUAGAUAAAGAUACAUUGUAAAGGAUAAAGGCUUUUUCUGGUUUUAUGGUGGAUUUCCUCAUGGGAGGGGUUUCUGCCGCUGUCUCCAACACAGCUGCUGCUCCAAUAGAGAGAGUUAAGCUCUUGAUUUGGAAUCAGGAUGAAAUGAUCAAAACCGGUCGGUUGUCUGAACCAUACAAAGGGAUUGGAAGGAUGAAGGAAUACUUGCUUUCUAGAGAGGCAACACUGCAAAUGUUAUCAGAUACUUCCCCACCCAGGCCUUAAACUUUGCUUUCAAAGACUAAUUCAAGAGGCUUUUUAACUUCAAGAAAGAUGGGGAUGGCUAUUGGAAAUGGCUUGUUGGAAACUUCGCAUCGGGUGGCGCUGCUGGUGUAUUAAGUCAGCUGUACAGUUUGUAAUUCGGUUAUUUUCAGUUAGUAACUGUUUCUUGGUAGUUAGUAGCUAGUUUGUUAGUUUGUUAUCCAACUGUACAGAUGUAUUCAGCAUACUUUCCAUGAUGGAUUUGUAGUUGAAACUAUUUAGAGCAGCUGAACUUGUAACCCAGGAGAAUUGAAUAAUUAAAAUCCUCUCUCUCCACUUUC